rnacentral:rRNA from 1 species
GACGAACCGUGCAAACGUUGUUCGGAAUCACUGGGCUUAAAGGGUGCGUAGGCGGCCAUGUAAGUGAGGUGUGAAAUCCCUCGGCUCAACCGAGGAACUGCGCUUCAUACUGCAUGGCUUGAGGGAGACAGGGGUAAGCGGAACUGAUGGUGGAGCGGUGAAAUGCGUUGAUAUCAUCAGGAACACCGGUGGCGAAAGCGGCUUACUGGGUCUCUUCUGACGCUGAGGUACGAAAGCUAGGGUAGCGAACGGG